AGCAGUAGCCGCGGUAAUACGUAGGGAGCAAGCGUUGUUCGGAUUUACUGGGCGUAAAGGGCGCGUAGGCGGCGCGGUAAGUCACUUGUGAAAUCUCUGAGCUUAACUCAGAACGGCCAGGUGAUACUGCUGUGCUAGAGUGCGGAAGAGGCAACCGGAAUUCUUGGUGUAGCGGUGAAAUGCGUAGAUAUCAAGAGGAACACCUGAGGCGAAGGCGGGUUGCUGGGCCGACACUGACGCUGAUGCGCGAAAGCCAGGGGAGCAGACGGGAUUAGAUACCCCCGUAGUCCCUGUCUCUUAUAC
rnacentral:rRNA from 1 species